rnacentral:rRNA from 2 species
AAGUCGAACGAAGCUUUCUUUCACCAAAUGCUUGCAUUCACCGAAAGAAGCUUAGUGGCGAACGGGUGAGUAACACGUAGGCAACCUGCCCAAAAGAGGGGGAUAACACUUGGAAACAGGUGCUAAUACCGCAUAACCAUGAACACCGCAUGAUGUUCAUGUAAAAGACGGCUUUUGCUGUCACUUUUGGAUGGGCCUGCGGCGUAUUAACUUGUUGGUGGGGUAACGGCCUACCAAGGUGAUGAUACGUAGCCGAACUGAGAGGUUGAUCGGCCACAUUGGGACUGAGACACGGCCCAAACUCCUACGGGAGGCAGCAGUAGGGAAUCUUCCACAAUGGACGAAAGUCUGAUGGAGCAACGCCGCGUGAAUGAAGAAGGCCUUCGGGUCGUAAAAUUCUGUUGUCAGAGAAGAAUGUGCGUGAGAGUAACUGUUCACGUAUUGACGGUAUCUGACCAGAAAGCCACGGCUAACUACGUGCCAGCAGCCGCGGUAAUACGUAGGUGGCAAGCGUUGUCCGGAUUUAUUGGGCGUAAAGGGAACGCAGGCGGUCUUUUAAGUCUGAUGUGAAAGCCUUCGGCUUAACCGAAGUAGUGCAUUGGAAACUGGAAGACUUGAGUGCAGAAGAGGAGAGUGGAACUCCAUGUGUAGCGGUGAAAUGCGUAGAUAUAUGGAAGAACACCAGUGGCGAAAGCGGCUCUCUGGUCUGUAACUGACGCUGAGGUUCGAAAGCGUGGGUAGCAAACAGGAUUAGAUACCCUGGUAGUCCACGCCGUAAACGAUGAGUGCUAAGUGUUGGAGGGUUUCCGCCCUUCAGUGCUGCAGCUAACGCAUUAAGCACUCCGCCUGGGGAGUACGGUCGCAAGACUGCAAACUCAAAUGAAUUGACGGA